rnacentral:rRNA from 1 species
CGACGAGUACCACGUACGUAGUUUGACUCCGUCGCGUACGAGGACACGCUGGCGGCGUGCUUAAACACAUGCAAGUCGAACGGUAAGGCCCUUCGGGGUACACGAGUGGCGAACGGGUGAGUAACACGUGGGUGAUCUGCCCUGCACUUUGGGAUAAGCCUGGGAAACUGGGUCUAAUACCGAAUAUGUCUUCGGACCAAAGAUUUAUCGCCUUUAGAUGGGCCCGCGUUGGAUUAGCUAGUUGGUGGGGUAAAGGCCUACCAAGGCGACGAUCCAUAGCUGGUCUGAGAGGAUGAUCAGCCACACUGGGACUGAGACACGGCCCAGACUCCUACGGGAGGCAGCAGUGGGGGAAUAUUGGACAAUGGGCGAAAGCCUGAUCCAGCAAUGCCGCGUGAGUGAUGAAGGCCUUAGGGUUGUAAAGCUCUUUUACUCGGGACGAUAAUGACGGUACCGAGAGAAUAAGCCCCGGCUAACUCCGUG